AGUAGGUUUGAGGUGGAGCUCAGGGUAGUCCCGGGUAGUCCAUAUGCUUCCCUUGAGAAAUAGAGGUUUGCUGGUGGUAUUGCGGUGUUAGACCAUUCACAUCCAGCCUUUGGAUGGCAGAGGAGCUGCAUGGCAGUGCUAAACUGAUGCCCAAACGGGGAGUCAGAGAGUAGCGCAGGAGUCAGGGAAAACAAGACAGCAAUCUACAUUCUCACACUCUUCCUUGCUUCUUCUAUUCCUUUCCCACCACCUUCUCUUACAAAAGGAAUUUCUUUAAAAGAUCUCUUACAAGGAAACUUUACUUUACGUAAAACAGCUAUCGGCAAUUCUAUGCCCGUCGGGGCUGAGGGGGUCUGGGGAGCUCCAAGCGGACUGCGCUUCUAGUUUAUCCCUUGAGGAAGCUCCUAAGGUAGAUCCAUGGACACUUCAGGGUUCCUUCAGAAUUCACUUGAAAACACUCUUAAUCUCACUCUUCUUUUACAGAUGAAGAAAUUGAGACCCAGAGAGGUGAAGUGACUUGCCUAAGGCUGGCUAGAGACAUAACUGGAUGAUCACUCUGCUCUACUGGGUCUCAGGCCACUGAGAUUUUCCAAACUGCGUUCAUUAGAACACCAGUGUCCAAAGCGAGGUCAAUAGGUGUUCUGGGGGACAAAAGGGUUGCAUGUUCCCAUGGCAGAGGAUUUUCAGGCUGUGGAGAAAACAUAUUGAAGAUUAAAAGGAAAGUCAUUCAGAGUCGGAUGCCCCUAAACUGUGACCAUAAACAAGCAGAGCUUCAAAGCUACUAAUUUGUGUGGUCUCCUGUGGGUGCGGCUUCGACCACCAGAGGGAGCUGUGGGAGCAAGUCACAGAAAUCCCAGACUGGACUAAGCAACCAGGAAACUUCGUUCUCAAGUAACUAGAAGUCUAGAAGAUCUUGCAACUGAUCUUCAGAGUUAAGUUGGCCCAGUUGUUUUAGAGUAUAAUUCAAAUCUUAGGUCUUCCCUUUCAAGAGGGGAACAGGAAUGCAUUAAGUUAAGGAUUGGGAAUGUUUCUAGCCCCAGGGGUCUCAGGUAGCCAGGCCUGUGCCAGGGACUCUGCAUCUGGGCUGAGGGCAGCAAGACCACUCCUGGUAAGACCUAUAAGGGUAGAACUGGGGUUCCUAAUCCAUGCCAGGCGUGAAGCUGGGGCUGGUUCUUCAUGACCUGAGGCUGGUGAGAUCUUUGCUUACCUUCUUACUUGUAUUUUUAAGGCUCACAUUUCCCAGUGCUGGAGUCCUUUCCCAUCUCCUUUAUUACUGGCUUCUUUGCUUGUCAGUAUACCAGAAUAAAUCUUCCUACAAUAUGGGCCAUGCUCCACCCACUAUGGCAAAAGCAGCCAGCUGGAACACAGAACACAUGGGCUGAAAAUGUGGCAAUGCUUUGCUGAGUUCUAGUCUUUCCAAAAUUAUUAAAAGUGGUUGGUCAAAUUUCACUGAGUGUGCAAUAUUUGGAAAUAGCUGUUCCCGGGGGGGAAAAAAGCAGCUCUUGAAUGUGAGGAUUAUCAAGGAAGAUGAUGCUUU
rnacentral:lncRNA from 1 species